rnacentral:lncRNA from 1 species
AUAAGAACGUAUUUGAUAGUAAUUUUAAAAAGUAUUUUUAUCAUCUUUAAUAUUGUGAAAGAUAAAAAAUUUUAAAUGUUUAAAAAACUAUAAAUACUUCAUAAAUUCAUUGUCAAACUUACUCUAACUUAUACAAACAUAUUUGGCGAAAACUUCAAAUUAACAUGUGUAAUAAAACAUUUUUUUUUCUUUCCACAUCAUACUUUCCAUACAUUGCAUACUCAUUUUCUCAACACAUAGAAGUCAACUAAUCCUCUUGUUUGUGGGGUUUAGCAUCAUCGUCAUCAAGCUUAGAAGCCGGUACAAAAAAAUUUGGUUUUGAUCUUAUUCUGUACAGAGGCGGACCCAUCUUGUAAUUAGCUUUUGACAUUGUAGAAUAUCUUGGUUCCCCUAAUAGCGAAUGAGUACCGUCUUCGUCGAUAUCUGCAGAAACCUUUGACGCUAUGAGGAUCAUCAUCAACAUGACAAUGAAACUCAUUGAGAUCUUUUGGUUUGAAGUCGCCAUGUUGAGUGGGGCUCAAGAAAUGUUGGCUGAAAAGGAUUUAUUAGUGAAAAGAUGGCUCAUUCUGAAAGCAAGGAAUGAUGAGUGAGAUUUUAUAAGGGGGGAGGAGGGGGUGUUUGGAUGGAGUUAAAAUUGGUGGAAAGUUGUUUUGAUGGUUAUUUUGGGGUUUGAUUUUGUUGUUGAAUGGCAAUUAUGUCUUGGAGAUUUGGUCAAUUUUAAUUCCAAGAAUUACGGAUAGCCAUUAAUUCUAAUUACUCCAAAUAGUCACAACUUACGGAAGAGGAAAUUUUUUUUUUUCGAAACGUGUAAAUAAAUUUAAAUUUAAAAUUUUUAACAUACAAUUUCUUUUUUCAAAAGUAAAAAAAAAAAAAAAAAAAAAGUAGGUUGCAACUUCGACAGGUUGAUUGAAUUAAUGACUAAUUUAAAUUGAAUAUGAAUUAAUAAAUAAUUAAUUCAAUCUCAACCGUAUUGAAACUCUAACCCAAGAUACUCAAUUCAAACAUAAUUGAACUUAAUUUUUUUUUUUUUAACUUAGAUUGAAUUUGAGUUAAUUGAGUUAAACUCGGGUUGGUUGGAUUAAAUUUGGGUUAAUAGGAUUAUAUAAUUCAAAACUUAUCUAUAAUGAUUUUUAAAAAACUUUAUAUAUAUAUAUAAAGUGGUGAAUAAGAUAAAAUUUUAAAAUAAUAAUAAAAAAAUGAAUAAGUUUUUGUAUUUGUUCCAAAAAAUGAAAAAAUAUAUGAUAUAAUUAUAAUGUGAUUUUUAAAAUUUUUUAAAAAUAAAUAUUAUUAUACAUAAUAAUAAAUAUUAUAAAAAAUAUUAAAUCGGAUUUAAGUUAGAUUGUUAUUUAAACCUUAGUUUAAAUCCAACCCAAAUUGAGUUCGAGUUAAGAAGACUUAACCCAAACUAAACCAAAAAAUUGAAAAUGUUUAGCCAAACCCAUUAAAACAUCGGGUUGGAUUCUAGUUGGAUUGGAUCAACUUAUUCAAGUUGCACACUUUUUUUUUAAAAAAAAAAGAAAAAAUAGUUUUAAAAUUUUUACAAAAGAAAAAGAAAAUUUUGAAUUAACAAAAAUGUAAAAUUAUAUUUGAUUUUUGAAAAUUUUGAAAGAAAAUACUAAGAAAAGAAAAUAAGGAGGAAAACUAGAAGAAAAAAAAAAUAUUUUUAUAUGUUUCUUUAAAUUUAUUUUACUUAUUUUCUUUUAUUACGUAAAAAUUAAAUAAUUUUAAAAUACAUAAAAUUAAUUUUAAUUAUAUUUUGUUUUCUUCUAUACUUUUCUAACCAAAUAUAAUAAAACUAUUUUUCUUAACUUUAUUUUACGUAAAAAUUAAAUAAUUUUAAAAUACAUAAAAUUAAUUUUAAUUAUAUUUUGUUUUCUUCUAUACUUUUCUAACCAAAUAUAAUAAAACUAUUUUUCUUAACUUUAUUUUUUUUAUUUCUUUAAUACUUUCAAGAAACCAUACAAAGUCUAAAUGAAAAAAAUGUCAAUGAAAAGACACAUUCAAUUGGAAUUGAAAUUACAAUACUUUUAUAAUGUACUUAUUUUUGCUUUAAUUUUAUAUACUCCCUUUUGGAUGGUAAAAUUUAAUUAAAACAUCAAUUUAAGCAUAGCAUAUUCCUAAGACUAGAUAACAUGAGUAUCCAUUUUUAUAAUUAUCGAAAGAUAGACAAUAAAUAUAGUGAAAAUACAUAUUCUUUGGAAGGUUUUAUAAUUACCAUUUUCAAUGAUCCAAGACAAGAAAAAUGA